AUGAGCUGCGGAGAAAGCAAGGUUGUGUGUGUGACAGGAGCAUCUGGGUUCAUAGCAUCAUGGCUGGUCAAGCUCUUGUUGCAACGUGGUUAUACUGUCAAAGCCACUGUCCGUGACCCAAAUGGUGCAAAGAAAACAGAACACUUGCUUUCACUUGAUGGAGCAAAGAAAAGGCUUCAUUUGUUUAAAGCAGACUUGUUAGAAGAAGGUUCUUUUGAUUCUGUAGUUGACGGAUGUGAAUGCAUUUUCCAUACGGCAUCCCCUGUACUUCUUUCUGUCACUAACCCUCAGGCAGAAUUAUUGGACCCUGCUUUGAAGGGAACGGUUAAUGUCCUUGGAUUAUGUUAUCGCAGCAGUUAUAUUUAAUGGAAACCAUCUUGCUCCUGAUGUAAUAGUGGAUGAAUCUUGGUUUUCAGAUCCUGCUAUUUGUGAGAAAGCGAAGCUUUGGUAUAUGCUUUCAAAGACAUUAGCUGAAGAAGCUGCUUGGAGGAUUGCAAAAGAGAAAGGCAUUGAUAUUAUAACAAUAAAUCCAGGAUUGGUGAUCGGCCCUCUCUUACAGCCAACUCUGAACACAAGUGUGGAAAAAAUUCUGAAUCUCGUGGAUGGGACUGAAAAAUUUCCCAACACAACUUAUGUAUUUGUUGAUGUUAGAGAUGUUGCGAUUGCGCAUAUUCUAGCUUUUGAGAACCCCUCAGCUAGUGGACGUUAUUGUUUAGCUGAAAGCGUAAAACACUGUUCAGAGGCUGUGAAAAUGUUGAGUGAUAUCUCCCCUGCACUCAAUCUUCCAGAGAAAUGUGCAGAUGACAAACCUUUCACACCAACUUACCAGGUAUCCAAGGAAAGAGCCCAAACUUUGGGUGUAAAGCUUACUCCACUUGAAAGGAUGAGCGGAGCAACGAAGGUUGUGUGUGUAACAGGAGCCUCCGGUUACAUAGCAUCGUGGCUGGUCAAGCUUUUAUUACAACAAGGUUACACUGUAAAAGCCACCGUGCGUGACCCAAAUGAUGCAAAGAAAACAGAACACUUGCUUUCACUCGAUGGAGCAAAGGAAAGGCUUCAUUUGUUUAAAGCAGACUUGUUAGAAGAAGGUUCUUUUGAUCCUGUCAUUCAUGGGUGUGAAGGUGUUUUUCAUACAGCAUCCCCUGUCGUAUUAUCAUCUACUAAUCCGCAGGCGGAACUCAUUGACCCGGCAGUAAAAGGAACACAUAAUGUUCUGAAAUCAUGCGCAAAAACUGCGACUGUCAAGAGAGUGGUUUUUACUUCUUCAAUGGCUUUAGUGAUGUUGACUGGAAAACCUUUGACCUCAGAUGUGGUAGUUGAUGAAACAUGGUUUUCGGAUCCUCUUGUCUGUGAGAAACAUAAGCUAUGGUAUAUGCUUUCAAAAACUUUAGCUGAGGAGGCUGCUUGGAAAUUUGCCAAGGAAAAUGGGAUUGACCUAGUUUCAAUGAAUCCCGGGUUUGUAAUUGGACCGCUGUUACAGCCAACUCUUAACCUCUCUGUAGAGGUGAUUCAGAGUCUCCUUACUGGUACAUGCACAUAUCCGGCUACAAAUUACAGAUUUGUUGAUGUUAGAGAUGUCGCCUCUGCCCAUAUUCAAGCAUUUGAACUUCCUUCAGCUAGUGGAAGGUAUUGUUUGGUUAGCCAUUUCGCGCACAUCUCCGAGGCUCUGAAGAUUAUAAGACAACUUUAUCCGACUUUGAACAUUCCUGAAAGGUACAUUGAUGACAAGAAUCCUGUUCGUAUUCUUCCUUCUGACCCAUUUUUUCAAGUAUCCAAUGAGAAAGCAAAAGGUUUGGGAAUUAACUUCUUUCCUCUUGAAGUAACGCUCAAAGACACUGUUGAAAGCCUGAAGGAGAAGGGCUUCCUCAAUUAGCUAACUGGAUUAAAACGUACACACUGGUUAGAUGUUUGCAGUUGAAGUCUUUUUUCUCAACUCAAUAGAGAAUGUUGAAGAUGCAUACAUGUCCAGGAUUUCUUAAAAUAAGCAAGUCAGAUUUGGAGCUGUCCUUGGUUUCUUAUUCAGCUCAUUUAAUCAAAAAGUGCUGACUUAAUCAGAAGCACAUUUGAAGAAUUCAAAUAAAUGGAGAAUCACAACUUCUCGAAUUCAAUCAGCUGCUCUUAUGGAUUGAAGAAUCAGUAUCUCUUGCUCUUUGUGGAUCUAUUAAUCUGUUAUUUUGCUCUUUAGUUACUAUUAAGUACGGUGUUGCCUUAAUUUGUUAUGGUUUGUAAACAUAUAUAUUUUUUUUUUGGCAAUGGGUUUGUAAACAUAUUAUAGGCGCUUCUUUGUAUUGAUGUUCAUGAGAACGUACGUAGAAAAAGGGUAACAAUGCUAGAGUCAAAAAGGGUUUGAAUUUUUCAGAAACUAUGUAUCAAGAGAUAUGAUUGUUGCAGCUGCAAGCCUGCAACGAGGCAUAAGAUUUGUAAUCAUGCCACAGAUCACGUAAUACUUG